GAGCCCAGGGAGGAGGGAGCAGCUGGUGAGGCUGAAGGGCCACAGGAGCCUCCUGAGACUUUCCAACUGAGCUGCUGUCCCGUGAGGUCAAACUUGGAGCGUGGCUGAUAGGUCCAGUCCUGGGUGUCUGCCUGCCCCUGCCCAGGAGCUCCAGGGAGGAGAGCAAAGGGCCGCGGGGGUAGCCCCAGGGCACUGCGAGUCUGGCACAGCAGAGUCUUCUGGCUGUCCCCUCCACGAUCUGGUGACAACUGGUCCAGCUGGCUCAGGGACCCGGACCUUCAUCCAGCCACGGAUGGAGCCUGUCUCCUCGCCACGGUGGAAGAGGAAGGUCUCAAACUGCUGGGCCAUGCUGCCAAUCAUGGACCUCAUUGCGAUGCAGCACUCACCUGCAGGCUGUCACCUAAGCCCUGUGGGGGCAAUGCUUGGCAGCCCCCCAUGCCACAGCAGUGGCCCCCACAUCACCAUCCUGCACACACCAUAGGACUCGCAGCUGUCCACUCCCUUGAUGCUGAGGAGCAGGUGCUGGUCUCCCAGGUUCAGCUGGUCCACAGCCAGGAGGGCUUCAAACUCCUUCUUGGUGAUAUGAGCAAGGAUGUCCUGUGCCAGGAGAGGAAGGCACGGAGAGCCCUGGCUCCUCGUCCCCCUGCAGCUACACCAGCGUUGCCACCAGCGUGCCACCAUCCCCGGCCACAGUGCCCACGGGGUCCUACCUGCACGUCCAUCUCCAGGCGGUAGUUGAGGUCCCCGAACCAGAAGAGGCAGGAAGCCCAGCCAGUGCCCCUUACCCGUGCACUGGUGAAGACGAAGUCUCUGCUCAGGCUCUUCUGCAGCUCCCGGUUGUACACCAGCCUCACCUUGCUUUGCAUGCUCUGGUAUUUGAUCAGCUGCAGGACUGAACACGGGGUAAGAAGGGGGCAUCAGUGGCAUCCCCGUCCUGCCACGGGGGCCAGCAGAGAUGGGGGGUGGGGGUGCAACCAGGUCUGCAACCCAUCAGGCUUGUGCCAGGGAACCCCACAGACAGUGAAGGGGGUCAGCAGCCUCUUACUUCUGUCCUGUGGGAUGGUCUCCUCCGGGGACCCGCCACCCCUCUUGCUGAUGGCCACCGUGCCUGCCUCCACAUCCACCGUCAGGGCUGCCCGCUGCGACUUGCCCAUCUUCACCUGCAGACAGAGACGUGGGCCCCAGGUUGUGCCCUGCCUGCCCUGCCCAAGCCGUGAUGCCAGGGUCCUCUUGUGCCUCCUGUCCUCACCUCAAAGCUCUGCUUAGCCAAGGGCUUGGCAGCAGGUGGAGGGGCUGCUGCCACACUGGGCAGUACCAAGUUGUGCCUCGAUACAGUUUCCUGCAGUGACUUCAGCACCUGCCAGAGACAUGGGCACUGGUCUUGGAGCACUGGGAUAAGAGGGAACUCUGGGAACCUUGAGCCACCACCAGCACCUUGCUUUUCUGAAGGGUUUAAUCUAAGUGAAGGGUUUGCUGGAGCAGAGUAAGGUUCCCCAGCCCAGGGUGCCAGCAGAGCUUGGCAGCAGCUGUGGUUAGCAGUGGCCAUGCCUCCCCCUGCAGCCAGCUGCUUCCCUGGCCUGGCAUCAGUGUGGGGUCAGACACCUUUUUCUCCAGAGAAGAGAGGAGAUGGUUGACAGCAGAUAUCUUGUUGAGGAGCAGCUCCAGGUCUGGAUCGCUGGUUAGGAGACCCUGAGGGUAAGGACAGAUGUUUUGGGAGCAGCAUGCUAGCACCACACUGGUGGGCCAGUGGCUCUGGCUCCCCAAGCCACAGGGAGCCAAGUCCCCUCUGCCAGCUGCAGAGACUCCAGCACAGGCAGUACCCAGGGACUACCAGCAGCACCUUUAGGUGCCAACAAGUACAGAAACUGCCCUGACCACCUUCCCCCCGAGACCAGUUGCACCCAAUGAUGAUGUGGCACCCAAAAGCAGCUGGGGGCUGUGGUGAUCCUGUGGGGCUCACCUGCUCCCUGACUGGGCUACGAGGGGACACAGGAGGGUCAAACACCCUGGCCAGAGUCUCUAGACCCACCAGCGUAAAGUCGAUCUCACUGCAGAGAAUAGGAGGACUGGGUGAGACCUGGCAUCUCCUGAGCUUUGGUGGGUGAUGCUCAGCCACCACGAAGGGGAGGGGGACAAGGUGGGCGGCUCAGGGGCUGUUCCCCUUCCAGCCCCACCGCUCCUGGGCCACUCGCCUGUGCAGUGCCCGGCAAGCAGUGACGAGUGCGGUGCUGAGGUGCCGCAGCUGCGGGUGCCCGUGGCGAAGCGCCUCCAGGUCCAACUGCAGGUGGUGGUUCAGGUACUCGGCCAUGAAGCCCAUGAAGUCACUGGCUGGGCUGCAAGUGGGGUGAGCCUCUUUGGAAAGAUCCCCAGCCAUGCCCACCCCAUCACCUCCAUCAACCUGAGGCGUGUUACCUGCUGCGGACCUGCUCCUGCAGCCUCUGGUGCAGCUGCUGCGAGAUGUGGGUCCGGCUGGCCACGGGAGCACUGAGCCAUGUGCCCGUGCUGCCUGCACCAGCCAGGGCUGUGCUUGCCACAUGCCCACCACCUCGGCCGUCCUCCCCAUCUGCGGGCAGAAGAUCAUCAGGUCAGUGUGAUCCCCCUCCCCGCUCCCAGCCCGGCUCAGCCCCCGGCAUGGCCCCCAGCUCACCUGAGUCCUCAUCGGCCGCUUGCCUUGCCCGGUGCACUGGGUAGAGCAGAGGUGUCACCAGCCCGUUGUUGGGCUGCUGGUAGGCACCAAUCAGGUCAGGUAGAGUUCGGAAGCACUUGGCCUGGAUGCCCUGAAUGGUCUGGAGAGGCAGAGAAGUGGAAGCAUCAUCACAUCCCCAUCUCUGCCAGCUUUGUGUGCCCUGGCAGUGAACCAGCUUGCCGUGUCGAGUGGGUCUGUCCCCCGAAAUGUGCUCAUGGC